CAUUUAAUGAAAUCACUUGUGAUUUAUGUCUGGGGGAGGUUGGAGAAGGAAGAAUCUGGAACCCAGACAUCCUGCUUCUAGAAAGGUACCGCCCCCCCAGUGCAAAAGAGGAGGAAGCAAAGCAGAAAGAGGGACCCAAGGCCUUUACUGCCACCCCACAGCCCCUGCAAAGCCACACACACCCUGGCAGGAGCCACAAGGGUAGCUGCACAAGGCCAUCGCCACAGAGGCUGCCAGACUUAAAGUGCUUCUGAGGAGUGUAGUCCAAGCACAUCAUGAUCAUGUUUUAUUGGGAUAGAAAUAUCCUGAUGUUAUGGCAGGUGGCCGUCAGCCAAUGAAAACUUAGGAUGCGCUCACCACCAGCAGCCAAUCCCAGUGAAGGAUGAGCCGAACUGCCAGGCCUAAUUGCAUCUUGAUUGGUUGUGAUGUUGCUAGGCAGAAAUGAGGUCCCGGAGAUCGCUGCGGGCAAGACCGGAGAGACAGGUGGAUAUGAGAAUAUCUGGAAACAUAGACUCUUGGAUUGUCAUUUUUCUUCCUGAGCUCCUUCAUUCUUAAAGGAUUAAUGGGGUCAGGGGAAUCACUCUUCCUUUUCUCCUCCACAGUGGGACAGAGCCAAAUAGUUACCGUUUCCCCAAAACGCCUUCAGAGAAAUCUGGCUGCCUCGAAGGUGUUCUAAUCCAAAAAAAAAAAAAUAUCCCCCGGAGGUAUUCCAGCCUCAUACUCAGUCUCCCCAUUUAGGAAGUCCUUUCUGAGGCCUCCCUUCAAGCCUCCUGGCUGUAGUUUAUGAACCAUUUUCUCUAACAU
ensembl:lncRNA